rnacentral:rRNA from 1 species
GAUGAACGCUGGCGGCGUGCCUAACACAUGCAAGUCGAGCGAUUUUCUUCGGAAGAGAGCGGCGGACGGGUGAGUAACGCGUGGGUAACCUGCCCUGUACACACGGAUAACAUACCGAAAGGUAUGCUAAUACGGGAUAACAUAAGAAAUUCGCAUGUUUUUCUUAUCAAAGCUCCGGCGGUACAGGAUGGACCCGCGUCUGAUUAGCUAGUUGGUGAGGUAACGGCUCACCAAGGCGACGAUCAGUAGCCGACCUGAGAGGGUGAUCGGCCACAUUGGAACUGAGACACGGUCCAAACUCCUACGGGAGGCAGCAGUGGGGAAUAUUGCACAAUGGGCGAAAGCCUGAUGCAGCAACGCCGCGUGAGCGAUGAAGGCCUUCGGGUCGUAAAGCUCUGUCCUCAAGGAAGAUAAUGACGGUACUUGAGGAGGAAGCCCCGGCUAACUACGUGCCAGCCGCCGCAGUAA